UACGAAGGGUGCAAGCGUUAAUCGGAAUUACUGGGCGUAAAGCGUGCGUAGGCGGUUUUGUUAAGUCUGCUGUGAAAUCCCCGGGCUCAACCUUGAGCUUGCAGUGGGUACGGGCAGACUAGAGUGUGGUAGGGGAGACUGGAAUUCCUGGUGUAGCGGUGAAAUGCGCAGAUAUCAGGAGGAACACCGAUGGCGAAGGCAGGUCUCUGGGCAUUAAACUGACGCUGAGGAAGCGGAAAGCAUGGGGAGCAAACAGG
rnacentral:rRNA from 1 species